GUGCAGGAUAAGUUACAGUGCAGCUGUCGCAGUGUUGUGUUGUCGUUCCCCCUGUGCAGAGGAAGUUGUUACCUUCUAUCCCUGCGUGUUGAUAUGCUCGGAUAGGCAGGGACGCUUGGUUUCACACAG
rnacentral:snoRNA from 10 species